rnacentral:tRNA from 1 species
GCCGGGAUAGCUCAUUUGGUAGAGCCAGAGGACUGAGGAUCCUCGUGUC